CACCAGGUCAGGACACGGUAAGGAUUGACGGACUGAAGGCUCUUUCUCGAUUCCGUGGAAAGUGGUGCAUGGCCGUUUUUGGUUGGUGGAUCGAUCCGUCUGGUUAAUUCCGUUAACGAACGAGACCUCGGCACUCCGAAUAGCGCGGCGGACGUCGCGGCCUCCGGGCCGUCUUCCGCACGAGCUUCUUAGAGGGACCGUCCCCCGCCGGGGAAGGAGGUGCGAGGCAACGACAGGUCUGUGAUGCCCUUAGAUGUUCUGGGCCGCACGCGCAUUACACUGACGCGUCCAACGGGUGACUCCCGACCCGAAGGGGCCGGGGAAUCCGCAAGGCGCGUCGUGAUGGGGAUUGAACGUUGCAAUUGUUGUUCACGAACGAGGAAUUCCUAGUAGGCGCGGGUCAUCAACCCGCGCCGAUUACGUCCCUGCCCUUUGUACACACCG
rnacentral:rRNA from 1 species